rnacentral:misc_RNA from 1 species
UUUCCGUAGGUGAACCUGCGGAAGGAUCAUUAUUGUAUAACCGAGGUGCGAGGGCCGUCGCUGACCCGAAAGGUCGUGCACGCCCGAGUGCCCUCACACACAUCCAUCUCACCCCUAUGUGCACCACCGCGUGGGUCCCCCUUUGGCUUGUUCGGAGGGGGGCUUACGUUUUCACACAAACUUUGUAUGCAGUGUAGAAUGUAUUUUUGUUUUUGCGAUCACGCAAUCAAUACAACUUUCAACAACGGAUCUCUUGGCUCUC